AAACGGGUGCGGAACACGUACGCAACUUACCCAUAACAGGGGGAUAGCCCGGGGAAACCCGGAUUAAUACCUCGUAAGAUAUGGUGGUGGCAUCACCAUUAUAUUAUAGCUGAGGCGGUUAUGGAUGGGCGUGUGGCUGAUUAGGUAGUUGGCGGGGCAACGGCCCACCAAGCCUACGAUCAGUAACUGGUGUGAGAGCACGACCAGUCACACGGGCACUGAGACACGGGCCCG
rnacentral:rRNA from 1 species